UACGAAGGGGGCUAGCGUUGCUCGGAAUCACUGGGCGUAAAGCGCACGUAGGCGGAUUGUUAAGUCAGGGGUGAAAUCCUGGAGCUCAACUCCAGAACUGCCUUUGAUACUGGCGAUCUCGAGUCCGGGAGAGGUGAGUGGAACUGCGAGUGUAGAGGUGAAAUUCGUAGAUAUUCGCAAGAACACCAGUGGCGAAGGCGAGUCCCUGGACACUUCCUGACACUGAGGCACGAAAGCUAGGGAGCAAACAGGAGUUAG
rnacentral:rRNA from 1 species